rnacentral:rRNA from 1 species
CAGUAGCCACGGGAACACGGAGGGAGCUAGCGUUGUUCGGAAUUACUGGGCGUAAAGCGCGCGUAGGCGGUUACUCAAGUCAGAGGUGAAAGCCCGGGGCUCAACCCCGGAACUGCCUUUGAAACUAGGUGACUAGAAUCUUGGAGAGGUCAGUGGAAUUCCGAGUGUAGAGGUGAAAUUCGUAGAUAUUCGGAAGAACACCAGUGGCGAAGGCGACUGACUGGACAAGUAUUGACGCUGAGGUGCGAAAGCGUGGGGAGCAAAUAGGAUUAGAUACCCGAGUAGUCCCUGUUUCUUAUAC